rnacentral:rRNA from 1 species
GGCACGCCUAACACAUGCAAGUCGAACGCAGUAGCAAUACUGAGUGGCAAACGGGUGAGUAUAAUGUGGGAAUCUGCCUUUUGGUUUGGAAUAACACGGGGAAACUUGUGCUAAUACCGAAUAAGCCCUUACGGGGAAAGUUUUAACGCCGAAAGAUGAGCCUGCACUUGAUUAGCUAGUUGGUAAGGUAAAAGCUUACCAAGGCAACGAUCAAUAGCUGUUCUUAGAGGAAGACCAGCCACAUUGGGACUGAGACACGGCCCAGACUCCUACGGGAGGCAGCAGUGGGGAAUCUUGCACAAUGGAGGAAACUCUGAUGCAGCGAUGCCGCGUGAGUGAAGAAGGCCCUUGGGUUGUAAAGCUCUUUCGUCGGGGAAGAAAAUGACUGUACCCGAAUAAGAAGGUCCGGCUAA